rnacentral:rRNA from 1 species
GAUGAACGCUGGCGGCGUGCCUAAUACGUGCAAGUCGAGCGAACGGACGAGAGGCUUGCUUCUCUGAUGUUAGCGGCGGACGGGUGAGUAACACGUGGAUAACCUACCUAUAAGACUGGGAUAACUUCGGGAAACCGGAGCUAAUACCGGAUAAUAUUUUGAACCGCAUGGUUCAAAAGUGAAAGACGGUCUUGCUGUCACUUAUAGAUGGAUCCGCGCUGCAUUAGCUAGUUGGUAGGGUAACGGCUUACCAAGGCAACGAUGCAUAGCCGACCUGAGAGGGUGAUCGGCCACACUGGAACUGAGACACGGUCCAGACUCCUACGGGAGGCAGCAGUAGGGAAUCUUCCGCAAUGGGCGAAAGCCUGACGGAGCAACGCCGCGUGAGUGAUGAAGGUCUUCGGAUCGUAAAACUCUGUUAUUAGGGAAGAACAUAUGUGUAAGUAACUGUGCACAUCUUGACGGUACCUAAUCAGAAAGCCACGGCUAACUACGUGCCAGCAGCCGCGGUAAUACGUAGGUGGCAAGCGUUAUCCGGAAUUAUUGGGCGUAAAGCGCGCGUAGGCGGUUUUUUAAGUCUGAUGUGAAAGCCCACGGCUCAACCGUGGAGGGUCAUUGGAAACUGGAAAACUUGGGUGCAGAAGAGGAAAGUGGAAUUCCAUGUGUAGCGGUGAAAUGCGCAGAGAUAUGGAGGAACACCAGUGGCGAAGGCGACUUUCUGGUCUGUAACUGACGCUGAUGUGCGAAAGCGUGGGGAUCAAACAGGAUUAGAUACCCUGGUAGUCCACGCCGUAAACGAUGAGUGCUAAGUGUUAGGGGGUUUCCGCCCCUUAGUGCUGCAGCUAACGCAUUAAGCACUCCGCCUGGGGAGUACGACCGCAAGGUUGAAACUCAAAGGAAUUGACGGGGACCCGCACAAGCGGUGGAGCAUGUGGUUUAAUUCGAAGCAACGCGAAGAACCUUACCAAAUCUUGACAUCCUUUGACAACUCUAGAGAUAGAGCUUUCCCCUUCGGGGGACAAAGUGACAGGUGGUGCAUGGUUGUCGUCAGCUCGUGUCGUGAGAUGUUGGGUUAAGUCCCGCAACGAGCGCAACCCUUAAGCUUAGUUGCCAUCAUUAAGUUGGGCACUCUAAGUUGACUGCCGGUGACAAACCGGAGGAAGGUGGGGAUGACGUCAAAUCAUCAUGCCCCUUAUGAUUUGGGCUACACACGUGCUACAAUGGACAAUACAAAGGGCAGCGAAACCGCGAGGUCAGGCAAAUCCCAUAAAGUUGUUCUCAGUUCGGAUUGUAGUCUGCAACUCGACUACAUGAAGCUGGAAUCGCUAGUAAUCGUAGAUCAGCAUGCUACGGUGAAUACGUUCCCGGGUCU